CCUACGGGUGGCAGCAGUGAGGAAUAUUGGUCAAUGGGCGAGAGCCUGAACCAGCCAAGUCGCGUGAAGGAUGACGGCCCUACGGGUUGUAAACUUCUUUUGUCAGGGAGCAAUUGAGUCCCCGUGUGGCCUUAGCGAGAGUACCUGAAGAAAAAGCAUCGGCUAACUCCGUGCCAGCAGCCGCGGUAAUACGGAGGAUGCGAGCGUUAGCCGGAUUUAUUGGGUUUAAAGGGUGCGUAGUCGGAAUAUCAAGUAAGCGGGAAAAAUUCGGGGCUCAACCCAGUCGUGCAGUUGAAACUGAUGUUCUUGAGUGGGCGAGAGGUAUGCGGAAUGCGUGGUGUAGCGGUGAAAUGCAUAGAUAUCACGCAGAACUCCGAUUGCGAAGGCAGCAUACCGGCGCCCAACUGACGCUGAAGCACGAAAGCGUGGGUAUCGAACAGGAUUAGAUACCCGGGUAGUC
rnacentral:rRNA from 1 species